CUAGGCGCCAGUUUGACGCUACAGAAUGAACUUUGUUUUUCAUUCUACGAGUUUUGAUUCGAGCAAACAACAUCCAACCGUGUUAUGCCCAGGACAGGUUAACUAAUUUCUAGCAGAGUAAAACUACGCAGUUGUACGAAAGCUUCCACUAAAUUUAUUCAGUUGCGCCGUUUAAAAAUUUAAAUAAAAGCAUGUCCAAUAGAACAAUUGCAAGUUAUUUUUGCGAAAUAAGAAAAACUUCUAGCAGCGGAUGGUGCCGCCACCAACAAGCCGAAUAAGCAUGCAGAGGCAACUAAAAUUAAAGGGAAUUAUAUCACUGAAAAAAGUGCUGAUAUAGGUGAAUGUGUGGCAGCAGAUGAUGUCAGCAAGUGUGCUGUAGUCUGUGACGUGAAUGUCAUUGGUAAAUGUUCUGAGUCAAUCGGUUUAACUGCUUCAGAUGGCCUAUCUACGACUCCUUGGUUGGACUCCAAUAUUUCAAACGUAAUUAGGAACGCAAGUGAGAUUGAGGAUUGUAUGUACUUGAUCAUACGUAUUUGCCGUCCAACGUGUACUAGUAAAACGAUUAUUAUAGUCUCCUUUGUACAAGUAACCCAAUAUUUAGUUACUUCAGUUUUUUAAACGUUAAGCUUUACGUUGAUCUUUGUCAGCGCAUAACAUGUAGAACAGUUGCCAUAAGAUAUUUAAGUUUGCAAUGUCCAGUCAUUGCCCUGACUAGACAAGACAACAAGAAUCGGUGCACAUUCUAGUCAGACCGAACUAAGUGACAAAAUAUUGGUUUCGAGAAAAACGGUUUUAAAGUUUGAAUCGCAGCAUCCGUUACGUUAUAAUUGGGAAUUAUUUUUUUUGUAAUCAUUCUUGUUUAUGGCUACAUAUUUCAAAUCUGGCAAAAGUCGAAUGUAGCUGAAGAAAUUCUUCACCCAGUGUUAUCAUUAUCUCAUUUUUUAUGUUUUGCGACUUAGUCCGGUCUGACUUAACGCCGACCAUAUCUAGCCCUGACUAGAAUACUGCAAUUGUACUUAAAAAAUUUAACAAAAUCCUCUUUUUCGGACUCACAUGCGGUAUUAAAGUUAUCUUUUACAGCAUA